AUGAGGGGAGGAGAGGAAGAAGCAGUGGAAGGGAGGAGAGGAGGGAGGAUGGGGAGGAGGAGAGGGGAGGAGAGAGAGGAGGACAGAGGGGAGGGGAGGAGAGAGAGGAGGAUAGAGGGGAGGAGAGGAGGGGAGGAGGGAGGAGAGAAGGGGACGAGGGGAGGAGGGAGGAAGGGGAGGAGAGGAGCCAGAGCUCGGCUCCAGCUGAUGCUGAUUCCAGCCCACAGCCACACCUCAUUUCCUGUUUGUCCUCCUUCUGGGGCCAGCGUCUCCCAGGCCCUCCUCCUCACUCUGGUGCUCCUCCAGGGCAACCCUGAGCUCCCUCCCAGGCUGGCUGACCCGCCCUGCAGUCAUGGAGCUGCUGUCCUGGCCCCAGGCCCUGCCUGUCCCACCCACCUACCUCCGGGCUGGCUAGUGCCCACCCUCACUGCCCCAGCCCAGACCACACUGCGGGAGGACCGGACUGAGGAGACGGUCACCCGGGGCACGGACCAGGCUUCCUGCCUCCUGCCAGAGAGGCUCUUCCCCGCCCCAGGGUGUGGAUUUCAAUGUCUGCAGCCUCCUGGGACCUCACCAGGUCAGAGCAUCAUGAGAUGCAGAGUUUCUUGGGGGGUCCAUAGAAUCCCCUAAACCAGGGGGUCUCACCCAAGGCAGAUCCUGUCCCCAGGGGACACCGGGCGACGCCUGGGGACAUCUGUGGUUGUCACAAUACUAAGGGGAGACCACUGUUUCAAAAUUCUAAACCAGUCAGGCGCAGUGGCUUAUACCUGUAAUCCUAGCACUUUGGGAGGUCAAGGUGGGCGGAUCACAAGGUCAGGAGUUCGAGACCAGCCUGGCCAAGAUGGUGAAACCCCGUCUCUACUAAAAAUACAAAAACUGGCCAGGCGCGGUGGCUCAAGCCUGUAAUCCCAGCACUUUGGGAGGCCGAGGCGGGCGGAUCACAAGGUCAGGAGAUCGAGACCAUCCUGGCUAACACGGUGAAACCCCGUCUCUACUAAAAAUACAAAAAAAUUAGCCGGGCGAAGGUGGCGGCGCCUGUAGUCCCAGCUACUCAGGAGGCUGAGGCAGGAGAAUGGCGUGAACCCGGGAGGCGGAGCUUACAGUGAGCCGAGAUCGCGCCACUGCACUCUAGCCUGGGCGACAGAGCGAGACUCCGUCUCAAAAAAAAAAAAAAAAAAAAAAAAAAUUAGCCGGGCGUGGCUAACUCAGUUCCAUCUGCAGAAUCCCUUUCACCUAGGAAGUUCCCCUGGCCAUGCCCGGCCCAGGAUCUGCACCCUGAAAGACCCCCCUCAAAAGAAACGAAGGGCUUGUUAAACGAAGGGCUUGUUGGGGAACAGAUCAGCUGGGACCAGGGCACAGGGCACCAGGCUCCCCGCCCAUGUCCCUCUGAGAGCCAUCUGGGUGUCCUCUGGGCUCCACCCCGGGGUAAUAGGAGGAGGAGGAGGAGAGGAAGCCAGGUGACUGUCCAAGUGCUGGCAUGGAGUGGGUGGAGGCCAGGGAUGCUGCUCAGCUCCCUGCAGUACCCAGGACGGCCCCGCCCCAGAGGAUGACUGAGCCUUGAGCGUCCACAGGGCCAAUGGGGAGGAACCCUGGGUGGAACAUCCCUAGAGCCGGAGGUCGUCUUCCUGUGUCUGAGCUUCCUCACUUUUCCUGAUUGCUGCGUGAGGCUUUUUUUUUUUGAGACUGAGACUCGCUCUGUCACCCAGGCUGGAGUGCAGUGGCGCGAUCUCAGCUCACUGCAAGCUCCGCCUCCCGGGUUCACGCCAUUCUCCUGCCUCAGCCUCCCGUGUAGCUGGGACUACAGGCGCCCGCCACCUCGCCCGGCUAAUUUUUUGUAUUUUUAGUAGAGA
rnacentral:lncRNA from 1 species